rnacentral:snRNA from 1 species
AUUGAUUUACUAAAUAAAAGGGCCAGUAAAACGGCCUCAUUAAAUAGUAUCUGUUCUUAUCAGCUUAAUAUCUGCUACGGUUUUCAUUGAGGACCCAGAAUAUAUAUAUUAAACUGAUUUUUGGAAUCAGAUAGGGUGCUUGAAGCUUGCUCCAUCCCUGCCACUGGUUGACCUGGUAUUGCAGUACCUCCAGGAUCGGCCCUCUCCUU